AUGUACAGAACCAAAGUGGGCUUGAAGGACCACCAGUAGCUCUACAAGCUGAUAAUUAGCCAGCUGCUCUAUGAUGGCUACAUCAGCAUUGCUAAUGGCCUCAUCAAUGAAAUCAAGCCUCAGUCUGUUUAUACACCCUCGGAACAACUCUUGCAUCUCAUCAAACUAGGAAUGGAAAAUGACGACACUGCAGUUCAGUAUGCAAUUGGUUGUUCAGACACAGUUGCCCCAGGCACAGGGAUUGACCUGGAAUUUGAUGCAGAUGUUCAGACUAUGUCCCCAGAGGCUUCUGAGUAUGAAACAUGCUAUGUUACAUCCCACAAAGGACCGUGCCAUGUAGCUACAUAUAGUAGAGAUGGACAGUUGAUAGCUACUGGGUCUGCUGAUGCUUCCAUAAAGAUACUUGACACAGAGAGAAUGUUGGCCAAAAAUGCCAUGCCAAUAGAGGUCAUGAUGAAUUCAUCUCCAGAAUAUGGAAAAUCACCCAGUGAUUCGAACUCUCUAUGACCAUGUGGAUGAAGUCACAUGUCUUGCUUUCCACCCAACAGAACAGAUCCUGGCUUCUGGCUCAAGGGAUUAUACUCUUAAAUUAUUUGACUAUUCCAAACCAUCUGCAAAAAGAGCCUUCAAAUACAUUCAGGAAGCCGAGAUGUUAUGCUCCAUCUCUUUUCAUCCUUCUGGAGACUUUAUACUUGUUGGAACUCAGCAUCCAACUCUUCACCUUUAUGAUAUCAACACCUUUCAAUGUUUUGUCUCUUGCAAGCCUCAAGAUCAACACACUGAUGCCAUAUGUUCCGUUAAUUACAAUCCUAGUGCCAAUAUGUAUGUAACUGGUAGCAAGGAUGGCUGCAUCAAAUUAUGGGAUGGUGUUUCAAAUCGAUGCAUCACAACCUUUGAGAAGGCACAUGAUGGUGCUGAAGUUUGUUCUGCCAUUUUUUCCAAAAAUUCUAAAUACAUUCUUUCAAGUGGAAAAGACUCUGUAGCUAAACUUUGGGAAAUAUCUGCAGGACAAACACUGGUCAGAUAUACAGGUUAA